rnacentral:rRNA from 1 species
GAUGAACGCUGGCGGCGUGCCUAAUACAUGCAAGUCGAGCGAACAGACGAGGAGCUUGCUCCUCUGACGUUAGCGGCGGACGGGUGAGUAACACGUGGAUAACCUACCUAUAAGACUGGGAUAACUUCGGGAAACCGGAGCUAAUACCGGAUAAUAUAUUGAACCGCAUGGUUCAAUAGUGAAAGACGGUUUUGCUGUCACUUAUAGAUGGAUCCGCGCCGCAUUAGCUAGUUGGUAAGGUAACGGCUUACCAAGGCAACGAUGCGUAGCCGACCUGAGAGGGUGAUCGGCCACACUGGAACUGAGACACGGUCCAGACUCCUACGGGAGGCAGCAGUAGGGAAUCUUCCGCAAUGGGCGAAAGCUUGACGGAGCAACGCCGCGUGAGUGAUGAAGGUCUUCGGAUCGUAAAACUCUGUUAUUAGGGAAGAACAAAUGUGUAAGUAACUAUGCACGUCUUGACGGUACCUAAUCCGAAAGCCACGGCUAACUACGUG